rnacentral:rRNA from 1 species
UGGAGCAUGUGGUUUAAUUCGACGCAACGCGAAGAACCUUACCAGGUCUUGACAUCCCUGACAACCCGAGAGAUCGGCGUUCCCCUUGGGGACAGGGUGACAGGUGGUGCAUGGUUGUCGUCAGCUCGUGUCGUGAGAUGUUGGGUUAAGUCCCGCAACGAGCGCAACCCUCGACCUUAGUUGCCAGCAUUCAGUUUGGGCACUCUAAGGUGACUGCCGGCUAAAAGUCGGAGGAAGGUGGGGAUGACGUCAAAUCAUCAUGCCCCUUAUGACCUGGGCUACACACGUGCUACAAUGGGCGGUACAAAGGGUCGCGAACCCGCGAGGGGGAGCCAAUCCCAAAAAGCCGCUCUCAGUUCGGAUUGCAGGCUGCAACUCGCCUGCAUGAAGCCGGAAUCGCUAGUAAUCGCGGAUCAGCAUGCCGCGGUGAAUACGUUCCCGGGCCUU